rnacentral:rRNA from 1 species
UGGGGAAUAUUGGACAAUGGGCGCAAGCCUGAUCCAGCCAUGCCGCGUGAGUGAUGAAGGCCUUAGGGUUGUAAAGCUCUUUCGCCGGUGAAGAUAAUGACGGUAACCGGAGAAGAAGCCCCGGCUAACUUCGUGCCAGCAGCCGCAGUAAUACGAAGGGGGCUAGCGUUGCUCGGAAUCACUGGGCGUAAAGCGCACGUAGGCGGAUCGUUAAGUCAGGGGUGAAAUCCUAGAGCUCAACUCCAGAACUGCCCUUGAUACUGGCGAUCUCGAGUUCGAGAGAGGUUGGUGGAACUCCGAGUGUAGAGGUGAAAUUCGUAGAUAUUCGGAAGAACACCAGUGGCGAAGGCGGCCAACUGGCUCGAUACUGACGCUGAGGUGCGAAAGCGUGGGGAGCAAAACAGGAUUAGAUACCCUGGUAGUCCACGCCGUAAAACGAUGGAUGCUAGCCGUUGGGGGGUUUACCUCUCAGUGGCGCAGCUAACGCCUUAAGCAUCCCGCCUGGGGAGUACGGUCGC